rnacentral:rRNA from 1 species
AAGUUUCAGCCUUGCGGCCGUACUUCCCAGGUGGCUCGCUUCACGGCUUCCCUACGGCACCGACAACGGUCGCACCGUGGCCGACACCUAGCGAGUAUCGUUUACGGCUAGGACUACCCGGGUAUCUAAUCCGGUUCGUGCCCCUAGCUUUCGUCCCUUGCCGUCAGGUCCGUUCUGGUGAGACGCCUUCGCCACUGGUGGUCCUUCAAGGAUUACAAGAUUUCACCCCUACCCCUGAAGUACCUCUCACCUCUCCCGGCCUCGAGCCGAACAGUAUCUCCUGAAAGCCCAACAGUUGAGCUGCUGGAUUUCUCAAGAGACUUAUCCGGCCGGCUACAGACCCUUUAGACCCAAUAAUAACGGUUACCACUCGAGCCGCCGGUGUUACCGCGGCGGCUGGCACCGGUCUUGCCCGGCCCUUGCUAUGCAAUGCUUUUUAGGCAUCACGACAGCCAGAUUUGUAACCUGGCACUCGAGGUCCCCUUAUCGCCGUUGCCGGCAUUGUAAAGUUUUCGCGCCUGCUGCACCCCGUAGGGCCUGGAUUCGUGUCUCAGAAUCCAUCUCCGGGCUCUUGCUCUCACAACCCGUACCCGUCGUAGGCUAGUAGGUACGCUACACCCACUACUACCUGAUAGGCCGCAGACCCAUCCUCUGGCGCCGGAGCUUUCGAUCUCGGGGCAUUCCAGCGACCGAGAUCUAUCGGGGAUUAUACCCAGUUUCCCGGGUUUAUACCCGUCCGGAGGGUAGGUUGUCCACGUGUUACUGAGCAGUACGCCAUGUAUGCUACAUUCGACUCGCAUGGCUUAGUCGAACCUCGAUAGCA